rnacentral:lncRNA from 1 species
AAAAAAAAAUACUCUUGGCCUUCAAUUUGUUUCUUUUCUUAUUGAUGCUCUUCUAGUCUUUCGUAAUUUAUUUUAGUUUUUUGAGUUACAACACGUUUGCGAACUUAAAAACUCAAUCGACAUCAUUAAUACAAAAGUAAGUUUAUGUCAUUCUCCCCUUACUAUGUGCUCCCUAUUCUUUUAGUUUUAAAGAACAAGUAAAAAAUAAGAACUUUUCUCUUAUAUUCAACAAAAUAUCUCAAAAAGCUCAUGAAAAUCACUCACUACCACUUUCCUUAUUUAACCAAGGAUAUGAGAAUAGUUUUUCUAAUAAAAGGGAAUAAGAUCCAUUCACUUUUUGUUACAAAGGUUUUUCUCUUCUAAGGAGUCAUUGCUACUAUGGAUUGAUUCCCCCCUUUUUCUUCCCUUUAAUAAAAAAAGUAUAUUAGAUUAAAAAG